CCGUGGAACCGCCGCCAGGUCGCUGUCGGUCCACGCCGCCCGUCGCGCUGCCCGCCCGCUGAGCGUCCGCCGCCGCCAUGGGAGUGCAGGUGGAAACCAUCUCCCCAGGAGACGGGCGCACCUUCCCGAAGCGCGGCCAGACCUGCGUGGUGCACUACACCGGGAUGCUUGAAGAUGGAAAGAAAUUUGAUUCCUCCCGGGACAGAAACAAGCCCUUUAAGUUUAUACUAGGCAAGCAAGAGGUGAUCCGAGGCUGGGAAGAAGGGGUUGCCCAGAUGAGUGUGGGUCAGAGAGCCAAACUGACUAUAUCUCCAGAUUAUGCCUAUGGUGCCACUGGGCACCCAGGCAUCAUCCCACCACAUGCCACUCUCGUCUUCGAUGUGGAGCUUCUAAAACUGGAAUGACAGGAAUGGCCUCCUCCGUCAGCUCCCUGUUCUUGGAUCUGCCAUGGAGGGAUCUGGUGCCUCCAGACGUGUGCACAUGAAUCCAUGUGGAGCUUUUCCUGGUGUUCCACUCCACUCUGUAUAGACAUCUGCCCUGACUGAAUGUGUUCUGUCACUCAGCUUUGCUUCUGACACCUCUGUUUCCUCUUCCCUUUUCUCCUCGUAUGUGUGUUUACCUAAACUAUAUGCCAUAAACCUCAAGUUACUCAUUUUA